rnacentral:rRNA from 1 species
CGUGAAUUCAUCUCCGGGGGUAGAGCACUGUUUCGGCAAGGGGGUCAUCCCGACUUACCAACCCGAUGCAAACUGCGAAUACCGGAGAAUGUUAUCACGGGAGACACACGGCGGGUGCUAACGUCCGUCGUGAAGAGGGAAACAACCCAGACCGCCAGCUAAGGUCCCAAAGUCAUGGUUAAGUGGGAAACGAUGUGGGAAGGCCCAGACAGCCAGGAUGUUGGCUUAGAAGCAGCCAUCAUUUAAAGAAAGCGUAAUAGCUCACUGGUCGAGUCGGCCUGCGCGGAAGAUGUAACGGGGCUAAACCAUGCACCGAAGCUGCGGCAGCGACACUAUGUGUUGUUGGGUAGGGGAGCGUUCUGUAAGCCUGUGAAGGUGUGCUGUGAGGUAUGCUGGAGGUAUCAGAAGUGCGAAUGCUGACAUAAGUAACGAUAAAGCGGGUGAAAAGCCCGCUCGCCGGAAGACCAAGGGUUCCUGUCCAACGUUAAUCGGGGCAGGGUGAGUCGACCCCUAAGGCGAGGCCGAAAGGCGUAGUCGAUGGGAAACAGGUUAAUAUUCCUGUACUUGGUGUUACUGCGAAGGGGGGACGGAGAAGGCUAUGUUGGCCGGGCGACGGUUGUCCCGGUUUAAGCGUGUAGGCUGGUUUUCCAGGCAAAUCCGGAAAAUCAAGGCUGAGGCGUGAUGACGAGGCACUACGGUGCUGAAGCAACAAAUGCCCUGCUUCCAGGAAAAGCCUCUAAGCAUCAGGUAACAUCAAAUCGUACCCCAAACCGACACAGGUGGUCAGGUAGAGAAUACCAAGGCGCUUGAGAGAACUCGGGUGAAGGAACUAGGCAAAAUGGUGCCGUAACUUCGGGAGAAGGCACGCUGAUAUGUAGGUGAAGUCCCUUGCGGAUGGAGCUGAAAUCAGUCGAAGAUACCAGCUGGCUGCAACUGUUUAUUAAAAACACAGCACUGUGCAAACACGAAAGUGGACGUAUACGGUGUGACGCCUGCCCGGUGCCGGAAGGUUAAUUGAUGGGGUUAGCGGUAACGCGAAGCUCUUGAUCGAAGCCCCGGUAAACGGCGGCCGUAACUAUAACGGUCCUAAGGUAGCGAAAUUCCUUGUCGGGUAAGUUCCGACCUGCACGAAUGGCGUAAUGAUGGCCAGGCUGUCUCCACCCGAGACUCAGUGAAAUUGAACUCGCUGUGAAGAUGCAGUGUACCCGCGGCAAGACGGAAAGACCCCGUGAACCUUUACUA